CAGCAGCCGCGGUAAUACGGAGGGUGCAAGCGUUAAUCGGAAUUACUGGGCGUAAAGCGUGCGUAGGCGGUUCGUUAAGUCUGUUGUGAAAGCCCCGGGCUCAACCUGGGAAUGGCAAUGGAUACUGGCGAGCUAGAGUGUGUCAGAGGAUGGUGGAAUUCCCGGUGUAGCGGUGAAAUGCGUAGAGAUCGAGAGGAACAUCAGUGGCGAAGGCGGCCAUCUGGGACAACACUGACGCUGAGGCACGAAAGCGUGGGGAGCAAACAGGAUUAGAUACCCGCGUAGUCCCUGUCUCUUAUAC
rnacentral:rRNA from 1 species